AGGACGAACGCUGGCGGCGUACUUAACACAUGCAAGUCGAGCGGUAAGGCCUCUUCGGGGGUACACGAGCGGCGAACGGGUGAGUAACACGUGGGUGACCUGCCCUCAGCUCUGGGAUAAGCCUGGGAAACUGGGUCUAAUACUGGAUAUGACUGCGCAUCGCAUGGUGUGUGGUGGAAAGUUUUUUCGGCUGGGGAUGGGCCCGCGGCCUAUCAGCUUGUUGGUGGGGUGAUGGCCUACCAAGGCGACGACGGGUA
rnacentral:rRNA from 1 species